rnacentral:rRNA from 1 species
AUUGAACGCUGGCGGCAGGCUUAACACAUGCAAGUCGAGCGGAGAUGAGGUGCUUGCACCUUAUCUUAGCGGCGGACGGGUGAGUAAUGCUUAGGAAUCUGCCUAUUAGUGGGGGACAACAUUCCGAAAGGAAUGCUAAUACCGCAUACGUCCUACGGGAGAAAGCAGGGGAUCUUCGGACCUUGCGCUAAUAGAUGAGCCUAAGUCGGAUUAGCUAGUUGGUGGGGUAAAGGCCUACCAAGGCGACGAUCUGUAGCGGGUCUGAGAGGAUGAUCCGCCACACUGGGACUGAGACACGGCCCAGACUCCUACGGGAGGCAGCAGUGGGGAAUAUUGGACAAUGGGGGGAACCCUGAUCCAGCCAUGCCGCGUGUGUGAAGAAGGCCUUAUGGUUGUAAAGCACUUUAAGCGAGGAGGAGGCUACUGAGACUAAUACUCUUGGAUAGUGGACGUUACUCGCAGAAUAAGCACCGACUAACUCUGUGCCAGCAGCCGCAGUAAGAC